AGCGAGGAGGUACAGAUUGGAGACCCACGUGAAGAAGCUGUCUGGCCAUGUUUUGGUAGAGUAGCUGUGCUGUGCUGGGGGAUUCCUUCUGCCCUUGGCCAGUUUGGACUCUCAAAAGCCCUAAGACUGAAACAGCUGAGUCUCCCAAACAGAAAAGAUGGCAGCCCAUUCCUCCCCACAGGAACUCUGUCCCAGGUAGAAUAUGGUGAUGGGUGCUGUGCAAGAAGAAGGAGGGAAGAAGGAAGCUGAGUGUGCAGCAAAGACACCUGCAGGGACACACAGAACCAGGCAUUUGCUGAAGGACACCUGGAUUGCACAACCAGUGGCUAACUUGCAUGAAAAAAACAUUCUAGAGUCUGGAGUUGCUUCUGUUGGCCAUCAAUUUCCUGUGGUGCAGAGGGGCUACAAAUAUAAUACAGAUUAAACUCCCUGCAGGAAGUCUCUUAUGGAUAAGAACAAGUUCAGCUUCCCAUUGGGGAUGACAGAGCUGGUGCUCAGGUAGUCAACAUCCUGCUGAGCCUAUGAGAAAGCAUUUGGGACAACUUGACAAUGCAUGAUAUCUUUUAUCUAUUUUUUAAUAGUUCCAGAGAUCACUGGAUUCAACGAGAAAUUGAUUGCAUCAGAGUCCCCUCACAAACAUAUCUUUAAGGAGAAGGAGAGGAUUUUAAAACAAUCUAUCACCUAUCUUUGACCAUAUGGACUAAACUUGAUAUCCACCAAUAGACACUGAUGCCUGCAAGUCAACAGCAUAAAGAGUGGUAAAGUCAGUGCUGCAAAAGAUGAAAUGUUUUUAAUGUGGUGCGAAGUUUAAGAAAUCUUGUUCACACAAAUAGCAGUGAUCUCUUUUCUAUGAUUCCUUUUCUGUGAACAUUCAGGACUAUCUAUCUGAACGAAAUGGGACCCCCAUCUCCUGCCACUUCUGGAGAACAAACAACACACUCAAAACCAUUUACCCAUCAUCAUCACUGUCCAGAUCAUUGCACAGGAUUUUAAAGGAAAAAUAAGGUAAUGUUGCUGAUUUUCAGAAAUAUUUUCAGCUUCAGAUAUCUGUGAUAAAAAUGAGAAAAAAGAAGUGGAUGUUCUGUCAGAAGGUAUUGGUGAGAUAGGAGACCCAGAAUUGGGAGAAGCAACUUAGAUGGAGAGCAACUUAAAUGGGAGAAGUGAUGAACAUGCGUGAGAAAAAAGUGACUCUGCUCCCUUUGUGAUCGGGGCGAACAUGACUAACUGAUCCAGGAAUUUGUUUCAUUUGGUCAUGAAUGGGCUUUGCAAAUCCUUCCUAAUGACAUGACAGUGUCACCUACUGGCAAAGCAGGACCCUAUGAGGCAUCUAAAGGGAGAUUUAGCCAGAUAUGUUGUUUAUCAGAAGCCAGGUGUAGUCCCAGCUACUUGGAAGGCUGAGGCAAGAGGAUCACUUGAGAAGAGACGUUCAAGGCUGUAGUGCACCAUGAUUGCACCUUGUGAAUAGCCACUGAACUCCAGCCUGAGCAACAGAGUGAGACCUCAUCUGUAAACAAACAAACAAAACUGGUCCUGAAUUUCAAUGUCAAUUUAUUGUAGAAAUCGUAAAAACUUAAUCCUCCUAAAAUAAUGCUGUUUUUAGGGGCAACACAUAAUUGUGUACAAUUUCAUGUUUCUUUUGAAGUGAUAAAUUAAUUAAAAAUAAUUGAAACAAACAGUUAUUAAAGAAUAAAGAAAGACAUUGUGACAAAGAAAUGACCGGGAACCACAUAAAGCAAAAUAUUUUGUACUUUCAAAUAAUGCUGAUUUUUAGGGCUAACAAGUUUCAGUAGUAGCUUAAUAAAUAUACAUUAAGAAAUGCCCUUUCUGAAUUCAAUUUUAUGAUGUUCAAGUACAAAAAAUAUUCAUCCAUUGAGACUUUGAACUGUGAAAUGGUCAAUGAAGAGGUGAGCAGCACUUAACUUGAAGCUAAUGUCUCAUCAAAUUGUUCGAACUUCACUCCUUGGUCAUAAGGUUUUCCAGAUCCAGAGCAAGGUAGCCAUAUGGCAUUGAUAUUCGAAAUACAAAGCCAAGUAUCGGUUUUAAAAACAGUAUUAUUGAUUUUUUUCUUCUUUUCCAAUUUUCUCUUUUUGAAAUUGUGCUGCUACAAAUUUGAAUUUUUAAAAUGUCUUAUUUUUCAAAUUUGUAUUGUUUCAUCUAUUGAAUGGUUUUUACCUUAAGGAAGUUCAGAAAGUUUUUAUGUUCUCAGCCAUUCUUUUUAAUAGAAAAUAUCUUAAAAACUGAAAAGCCUCUGAAAGGCUCAGGUGAACGAAAAUAGAAAAAAAAGUAUCUAUCUAUCUAUCUCACUCUUUUUUUUAAUUCCUCUUUAAUGCUUCCCUUACAAAUAUAUUGGAAAGAAAACUAUUCAGGUGGUACAAGGCUUCUCCCUGGUUUCAUUUUUCUUGCUCGUAUAUACAAUUAAUUAAUUAUUUGUGGCAGCAUUAUUUUUACUUUGGAGCCCUGAUUUCCCGCAAUUAUUGGUAUGAUGGAGCUCAGACCUGUGUUUCAGAGUUAAAUACUCUUCCAAGAAUUUCCACAUUAUAAAACUCCCCAACCAGCACUAAACUGUACACAUAAAAAUUGUAAAAAUGGUAAAUUAUAUAUGCAUAUUGUACCUUAACAUUUUUUUAUAAAAAAUAAAGAUUUUUUUAAAAAAAACAAACAAAUACCUCCUGCCCCACAAAAAAAAUUUCUCACCCCAUCCAAGUACCAGUCACUAGACUCUAACAAACAGUUCGGAAUUCAACUGGUGUCCAAAAGGUUAACAACAUUACCAAGGUGAAGGAACCAAAUCGGUAUCAUACAUUGGAGCCAUGGGGAAGCUUUUGGAACUAGGAUUUCUGAGAUCUUUUUACCAUAUACAGCAGGGAAAUCUUUGUAAAAAGGAGGAAAUUGGUAUAGUAUAUUCUGCUGCUGGCACAAAAAGUGUUUUUACCAAACUAAAGUAUCCUGUAGUUCAAAAAUGUUAUCACAAGAUUCCAUUUGUGUAUCUAUUUAAAGUUUUGGUAUAUUUUCAAUAAAAAUUAAUAAAAAUAUUUCUUCUCAUAAUAUGUGGUUUAAAUCCAGAUUAUUUUACUGUAAUAUGUCUUGAUAGAGUUUUAGAAUAUUGAAAUAGGGUAUUAAGAUGCUUUAAAUCGAUUACUGAUUUGAACAUUAUAAGUGUGUAUUUGUGUAUGUGUGUCAUAUUCAAAUAUGAUGAAUCAUGUAUGUUGGUGUGUGAACAUAUGCAUAUAUAAAGCAUUUUUAUCAGCUGUUUCUGGCUUCAUACCACAGAGAACAAUCUGAACUGUCAAAGAAAAUUAAACCUUGAGUAAGAAUUCCUC